rfam:Danio rerio chromosome 4, GRCz11 reference primary assembly.
GCCCGGCUAGCUCAGUCGGUAGAGCAUGAGACUCUUAAUCUCAGGGUUGUAGGUUCGACCCACACGUUGGGUG